rnacentral:rRNA from 1 species
AGUGAACGCUGGCGGUAGGCCUAACACAUGCAAGUCGAACGGCGGCACAGUAAGAGCUUGCUCUUACGGGUGGCGAGUGGCGGACGGGUGAGGAAUACAUCGGAAUCUACUUUUUCGUGGGGGAUAACGUAGGGAAACUUACGCUAAUACCGCAUACGACCUACGGGUGAAAGCAGGGGAUCUUCGGACCUUGCGCGAUUGAAUGAGCCGAUGUCGGAUUAGCUAGUUGGCGGGGUAAAGGCCCACCAAGGCGACGAUCCGUAGCUGGUCUGAGAGGAUGAUCAGCCACACUGGAACUGAGACACGGUCCAGACUCCUACGGGAGGCAGCAGUGGGGAAUAUUGGACAAUGGGCGCAAACCUGAUCCAGCCAUACCGCGUGGGUGAAGAAGGCCUUCGGGUUGUAAAGCCCUUUUGUUGGGAAAGAAAAGCAGCAGGUUAAUACCCCGCUGUUCUGACGGUACCCAAAGAAUAAGCACCGGCUAACUUCAUG